GGGUCAGUUGGGUGGUCGUGCCACCGGUACGUACUGGUCUCACUGUUUCCUCCUUCCUGAAGAACCGUAAUGCCAUUAAUUUGGUGUUGCGGGGAAACAGGACUGUUACUUUGAAAAAAUUAGUGUGUUUAAAGCAAGCUAACGCUUGAAUACAUUAGCAUGGAAUAAUGAAAUAGGACGAUCGAUCCUAUUUUGUUGGUUUCUAGGAUUGACGUA
rnacentral:rRNA from 1 species